rnacentral:sRNA from 6 species
AUGUACCGCUCGUACCUGCAGUUCCUCCGCGCCGUUCGCACCCACCUGGCGACUGGUCCCUACGCUUUGUUGCUC